rnacentral:lncRNA from 1 species
CACGGGGAGGCGAGGAGGAAGAGAUACUGUGCUUGGCGGAAGGUCCCCGGAAUGACCGAGACGACAACAAAAGAAUUUAUUUUCCAAGUCGAAAAUGCCCACGGAAAUGCCAGUCCUGAAAUGAGCAGACCUUUUCUGCCAUGAACUCAUUCGAUGACGUUGGAGGCAACCACAGGCCCAGAGCAACAGUGCCACGUGACCAUGUGAACUCUCUGGAACUCUGAGCCCGUUUCUCUGACUUCUCCGCCGCACUUACUUUAUCACAGCAACGGAAAACAGACUAAGGACUUUACCUCUGAAGUUUUCAACAGCUCAAAAAAUGUUAAGGUUUCCCAGAAAAGAGAUAUAUGUGUCGAUGUACAACAAGGGACCAAGGAAAUUGUACAAACUUGUUAAUUUAUU